CAGCCGCCGCGGUAAUACGUAGGGUGCAAGCGUUAAUCGGAAUUACUGGGCGUAAAGCGUGCGCAGGCGGUUAUAUAAGACAGAUGUGAAAUCCCCGGGCUCAACCUGGGAACUGCAUUUGUGACUGUAUAGCUAGAGUACGGCAGAGGGGGAUGGAAUUACGCGUGUAGCAGUGAAAUGCGUAGAUAUGCGGAGGAACACCGAUGGCGAAGGCAAUCCCCUGGGCCUGUACUGACGCUCAUGCACGAAAGCGUGGGGAGCAAACAGGAUUAGAUACCCCUGUAGUCCCUGUCUCUUAUAA
rnacentral:rRNA from 1 species